rnacentral:rRNA from 1 species
GACGAACGCUGGCGGCGUGCUUAACACAUGCAAGUCGAACGAUGAAGCCCAGCUUGCUGGGUGGAUUAGUGGCGAACGGGUGAGUAACACGUGGGCAACCUGCCCCAAACUCUGGGAUAACUCCUCGAAAGAGGUGCUAAUACCGGAUACGAACUAGACAGACAUCUGUACUAGUUGGAAAGUUUUUCGGUUUGGGAUGGGCCCGCGGCCUAUCAGCUUGUUGGUGAGGUAACGGCUCACCAAGGCUACGACGGGUAACCGGCCUGAGAGGGGGACCGGUCACACUGGGACUGAGACACGGCCCAGACUCCUACGGGAGGCAGCAGUGGGGAAUAUUGCGCAAUGGGCGAAAGCCUGACGCAGCGACGCCGCGUGAGGGAUGAAGGUCUUCGGAUCGUAAACCUCUUUCAGUAGGGACGAAGCGAAAGUGACGGUACCUAAAGAAGAAGCACCGGCUAACUACGUGCCAGCCGCCGCGGUAA